AGGAAGUUUUUUCCUUUUAUCUUUAAAUGAUGAUUGUGAGUGCAUUUGGCUCGAGACAAACAAUAGUUUGUCGGUGUGGAAAAACUCAAGCUACCUUUUUUUUUAUUGUCUGAUU
rnacentral:snoRNA from 1 species